ensembl:lncRNA
GUACAGAAGAGGUCAAAAGAGGGGAAAUCCUCACUGAAUUAUCUACUGCCCGGAGUGCUGCACAUCUCUGGGAGUGUGUGCAGUGUGCCAAUGUUGAGUUGACCAAGUGACCAGCAGAAUGAUAUUCAAUGUGAGCACGCUGCCAGGUGUCAUUACAGUUUGCCAAUCAGUAGAGGAAAGCAGUCUCACAUGCCGCCAUCUGUUACCGGGACGCCCUUGCCAGCUCACCAAUGUGAAAGAAUGCAAACGUGCAAAAGGCUAAAAAGAGAUGCGCAUUACACAUUGAAUCCAAUUCAUUCUGAAGUAUGAAAAGGCCUCGGAUCACCAUUCAAAUCUGACAAGGCACAAGACAUCACAGUUGCAGAGGGUACAUUUUGACACUGACUCAUAUGCGAAGAACGGAUGGAUUUUAUUUUAACAUCUCACAACACUCUGGGCAUUGUGGUCACUGUGAAACAUAUUGUAAACAGCCGCCUCCUUCUCUCGCCAGCUCUGAGUCAUCCCGACUUCGACAUCACAGAGCGUGUUUUGAAACGCUGUACCGCCUCCCCCUCACGCCCCUCACCCCUCGCGUUGGACGGGGGCCGGAGGUCCUCUCAGUCAAAUCAAAAGCACUUCCCCCGGCGGUGUGGCGGAGCCCGCUGCCUCCGGAGCCACUCGUUGCGACAUGCGAGGGGGGGGAACUUGUGAUCUUUUGAAUUAUUCUGCACUUCAUUUCUAUCCCACCAUUCAAAACGCAACGUGAGAAUUGAUUGCCUCAAAGAUUCAUCUUUAUAAUCUCCCCGAGGCCCAUAAAUUAUCCAACUUUUGGGGCAGGGUGGACGAGCUGCGAAGGCAGAGCAGAGCCCCGUCCCCGCAGACUGCUGGGGGAGCCACACUGAAUGGGGCUGCUCUUUUCGCCGGCUGGAAGCGGGAGGGAAAAAAAAAGGUCAUUAGGCUGCCAAUCGGGGUAAUUAUGGAAAUGAUCUCCCCAGCUCUUUGGAAUGUUUUCCUGCUUCCAUAAGGACUUGAAAGUGUUCAAUCAGCCUCUCUCGUGGGAAAGUUCAGCCAUAACUGCAAGUGUACCAGCAAAAUCAAAUUAAGCAAAGAGAUUUCAUUAGUAUUUAUAGCCCUGAGGCAUUUGUAAAAGUAUGGAGCAGUGGAGUAAUGUGGGACUGUGGAGGGGAGAAUUAUUGCUUAAUGACAAAGGCCAUACCUAGAAGACAUACACAUGGAUAAUGAAUAGGGGGACAUGAUUGCAUCUUAAAGAGGAUUCUUGAGGGAAUGUAAAAUAUUGAUGCUUGUGUGGAUCUCUGUGGAUUCCCGGCAUGGGAGUGAGGGUGGUUACUUUGCUUGGGUGUUAACACUGUUUGGAUGAUAACUUUAUUAUCAAGACAUGUUUAAGAGCGUCUUUCAAAGUAUUAACAAACACCAAAUUAUUUUUGAAAAUCACUUAAAUUGUAUGAUAUGGUAAUGCAAGUUGGAUUAAUACAGCAACAACAUAACAUGCUGGAUUAACUUUACCCAGGAUCAGUCGGUUGAUUAGACCCUGUGAUGGUGUUAAUCAUUACAUCAUUUUGGGGUUAUUUAGUGUGAUAAUUAAUUGGAGGUAAUUGUUCUCAUAUUAAGAAUAUUUCAUACUGCAUACCUCUGUUCCAUUCAAAUUCAGUUGAAGAUAUUUUACUUUUAUGAUAUUUAUCUGAUUGCUAUAAUUACUUGAUGGGUC